rnacentral:lncRNA from 1 species
AUUGGUGGAUGCAUGAACCGAAUUAGCUGCCAUUGCAGCAAAAUGUUCUGGAACAUCUUUUCUUGAAGCAAUAUAUGCAAGCAAAGUGUUCAUUUCAUUUUUCACAGUUGCAAGCUCUUUUUCCAUUUGAGUUACCUUAUCCUCCACAUUUGACGAAGUUGAACUAGAGGAAGCAUGGUUCAUACCACUUAGCCUUGUUGUGGAUCCUUUGAAAGCAAGGCUGGGACAAGCACCAUAUGAUAGCCCUCUAACUCGACCCGGAUGCUCCUUACCAAAUAUGACACCAAUUGGAUCUUCUGGAGAUAUAU